UUUAUUUUUUUUUAAUCAAUUUAACAUGACUGGCUUCUUAGUUGACACCUUUUUUUUUUUUUUUUUAUGUCUUCCCCUUUGGUUCUAAUUCUAACUGGUCAUUCCGAUUUGGGUAGGAAAACGAUUUUCAUCCAUUUUUACAUCUCUGAAUCUAAUACGACCUUGUCUCUUUCUAAAACUAAUUCAUUGUACACUUUAUUGACUGUGUAGCUUGCUGGACACAGGACUCCGUAGUUAGCCAGUCUAAAGCUUACAAUUCCUCUUUGUGAUACUGUAUGUGUGAAUGAAUGGUCAUCUCUCCUUAACUCUACACUUUUGGCUGGAAGAAUGUGGAAAUCCUGCUAUUUACUAGUUCAGAGCUUUUUUCAAUAUUUGCUUUGCAUUUAUUGUACUAUACAUGUAUAACAUCAUUUGAGUUUAGUUCUUCGUCCCUGAUUUGUAAUUAAUAAAGUUUCUACUUUCAACAUGAGA